GAUACUCCAGGUGACCUCCCAGGAGCCAUUCCCACCCACUUCUGCCUUGUAGGAAGAAAAAGUUUCUGUCAGAGGGGCUGCCAACCUCACACAUCAGAUUUGCUUUCCUCACAUCUGUGCCGUUAUUUUGGCCCCAGUUUCUGAGAGCAGCGUGCAUGUCCACAAGACACGUCCUGAAUGCUGGAUAUAAAUAUACACCAGGAGAGUCACUGUCCACGAUCUCCUGCACGCUGUUGGACUCUAAGAUUUUCACUUCUCUGGGAGAAGUCAUCCACACCCAGAGUACAUCUUGCCUCAGAAGGAGAGCAAUCCUGGUGCUCGGCCAGCACAUCACAAAUCUUGGAAGCUGCUUGUAAGUUGUACAAACUAAAUGUUUUCCAUCUAGCGUCUUCUGAAACUUGAUACUUUAUGCAUGUGUGCUCAGUCAUGUCCAA